rnacentral:sRNA from 1 species
GGGCUGGAGCUAAAUGGACCAACUUAAGCACAAACUCAUACCCAUAAACAUUUUCUUCACUCAUAAAUAUAUUCUUAACACUUUUUCCCGUGUAGAGAAACGUAGUAGGAUAACCCGAACGCCAUUAAGGUGCUAUGUCAUUGAGGUGCUAUAUCAUAUUGGUCCUAUAUCAUUGAGGUGCUAUAUCAUUGAGGUGCUAUAUCAUAUUGGUCCUAUGUCAUUGAGGUGCUAUAUCAUAUUGGUCCUAUGUCAUUGAGGUGCUAUAUCAUAUUGGUCCUAUUUCAUUGAGGUGCUAUAUCAUAUUGGUCCUAUUCAUUGAGGUGCUAUAUCAUAAUGGUCCUAUGUCAUUGAGGUGCUAUAUCAUAAUGGUCCUAUUUCACUGAGGUGCUAUAUCAUAUUGGUUCUAUUUCAUUGAUGUGCUAUAUCAUAAUGGUCCUAUGUCAUUGAGGUGCAGUUUCAUAUUGGUCCUAUUUCAUUGAGGUGCUAUAUCACAUUGGUCCUAUGUCAUUGAGGUGCUAUUUCAUUGAGGUGCUAUAUCAUAUUGGUCCUAUUUCAUUGAGGUGCUAUAUCAUAAUGGUCCUAUGUCCUUGAGGUGCUAUAUCAUAUUGGUCCUAUGUCAUUGAGGUGCUAUAUCAUAUUGGUCCUAUGUCAUUGAGGUGCUAUAUCAUAAUGGUCCUAUGUCAUUGAGGUGCUAUAUCAUAUUGGUCCUAUUUCAUAGAGGUGCUAAUUCAUAUUGGUCCUAUUUCAUUGAGGUGCUAUAUCAUAUUGGUCCUAUUUCAUUGAGGUGCUAUAUCAUAAUGGUCCUAUGUCAUUGAGGUGCUAUAUCAUAAUGGCCCUAUGUCAUUGAGGUGCUAUAUCAUAAUGGCCCUAUGUCAUUGAGGUGCUAUAUCAUAAUGGCCCUAUGUCAUUGAGGUGCUAUAUCAUAAUGGCCCUAUGUCAUUGAGGUGCUAUAUCAUAAUGGCCCUAUGUCAUUGAGGUGCUAUUUCAUAUAGUUCAGCAUUUCAACAAAUAUCGGAUACGUGACAACCAGUAGGUUAGGGCAGACAAAACUUUUGAAAAAAAACUCCCAUGAGUUUGGAAAGGUGGGAA